AUGGAUGGUGUCGUGUUACCGCAGAUGCUGCUGUAUCUCACCAGUGCCGCCGGCCAAACAAGAUGUAGACUUAAAGACUGCAGGUUUUUCUGUCUUUCACUCUCUACACUUGUAUCCCUCUCUGUCGUGAUGGGCAGCUAUAGCUCAGCCCUCGUUCCUGAGACUGAAGAGUUUGAUUCAAUUGUGUCAAUCGCGGAGAAGCUGAAUGAGCAGGUAGCUCAUGUUGCAGAUGAGAGGUUACAGUCAGAGCUUCAGAAUCUGGUAACACUCAUGAUGGAGGAGGAAAGAAAAGAAAACCACAAGGAAGAGCUGGAUUCUUCAACACUUCAAGAAAACUCUCAGGAAGCAAGUCAAGCGCCCAAAAGUCUGCCCACGCAGUCCUUCUCCUCUCUGUUACCGAAGGCCCUCUCUGCCGUGCUACAGCCGGCGCUAAAGCAAGGUCCAAACUCCGAUCCCGGGCCAAGCAGAGAAUCAGUGAAACGCGCUCCACCGAACCUGGAACAACUGCAGACAGAGCUGAGAGACCUGAGGGACCAGUUUGAUCAGAUGAAGAGUCAGCACAACAAAGAAAUUAAACUGCUGAUGAAUGAGCUCGAUGAGGAGAAAAGGAUUCGCCUGACUUUACAGAUGGAGAUUCAACGUAUGAAGAAGCACAUGUCUAAAUGA
rnacentral:lncRNA from 1 species